rnacentral:RNase_P_RNA from 1 species
UGACAAACGCUGCAUACUUGUUAUGUAGAGGAAAGUCCAUGCUCACACAGUCUGUGAUGAUUGUAGUGUUCACGCUAAGGGAAAAAAUAACCUUAGGUAGUAGUAAUACUAACGGCUCUGAAAUAACCUAAGUUAAUUUGAUAUGGUUAGAUUAGGUAUAAAAGUGCCAUAGUGACGAUGUUCUUUAGAAAUAAAGAAAGUGGAACGUGGUAAACCCCGUGAGUGAGAAACCCAAAUUUUGGUAGGGGAACCUCGAUAGGGAACUGAACUGAUUCGAGGAUCUUAGGAUAGAUAAAUGUUUGUCACCACUUAGUGGUACAGAACAUGGCUUAUAA